UUGAACGCUGGCGGCAUGCUUUACACAUGCCAGUCGAACGGCAGCGCGGGCUUCGGCCUGGCGGCGAGUGGCGAACGGGUGAGUAAUGCAUCGGAACGUGCCCAGUAGUGGGGGAUAGCCCGGCGAAAGCCGGAUUAAUACCGCAUACGACCUGAGGGUGAAAGCGGGGGACCGAAAGGCCUCGCGCUAUUGGAGCGGCCGAUGUCGGAUUAGCUAGUUGGUGGGGUAAAGGCUUACCAAGGCGACGAUCCGUAGCUGGUCUGAGAGGACGACCAGCCACACUGGGACUGAGACACGGCCCAGACUCCUACGGGAGGCAGCAGUGGGGAAUUUUGGACAAUGGGGGCAACCCUGAUCCAGCCAUGCCGCGUGAGGGAAGAAGGCCUUCGGGUUGUAAACCGCUUUUGUUCGGGAAGAAAUCCUCUGGGCUAAUACCCCGGGGGGAUGACGGUACCGGAAGAAUAAGCACCGGCUAACUACGUG
rnacentral:rRNA from 1 species